rnacentral:rRNA from 1 species
AGGAAUGCCCAAAUCCC